CUGGUUAUGUAAUGUAUUUCAGUUGUUUCCUGUAAUUAGUUAAUAUUUCAGUUUCAUCAUGUACAUCUUUUCUAUAGUAAUUUUAUAAAUUUACUGUUUGCAAAAGUAUAAAUUAUUCUAAAUAAUAGGGAUGCUCUGGUAACUUAAUAGAAAACCCUGGCCGUUUUUGGCACAACUUUUUUUAUCUUUUGGUCCUCGAUGCUGUUCGACUUCGUGCUUGUUUGGGCUUUCAAACUUUUGUAUCUGGGCGUCACUAUUAGAUCUUGUGUGGACAAAAUGCACCUCUGGCGUAUUAAAAUUUUGAACUUGUUGCCUUUUGUUGGCUGUUGUUCGUGUGUUCCUUUGUCAAUUGUGUUCUCCAAUUUAUUUAUAUUGUAGUCCUGUGAUGUUGAGUUGUCAUUUUAAUGUUAUAUUUCACAUGGCUAUAAAAGGGGAGGUUUGGCAUGCC
rnacentral:lncRNA from 1 species